rnacentral:rRNA from 1 species
AAGAGAACACGAACACAGGUGGGGCAUGGCUGUCUUCAGUUCGUGUAGUGAGAUGUUGGGUUAAGUCCCGCAACGAGCGCAACCCUUGUCAUUAGUUGCUUCGAAAGGGCACUCUAAUGAGACUGCCGGUGACAAACCGGAGGAAGGUGGGGAUGACGUCAAGUCCUCAUGGCCCUUAUGGGUAGGGCUUCACACGUCAUACAAUGGUCGGGACAGAGGGUCGCCAACCCGCGAGGGGGAGCCAAUCCCAGAAACCCGAUCGUAGUCCGGAUCGCAGUCUGCAACUCGACUGCGUGAAGUCGGAAUCGCUAGUAAUCGUGGAUCA